GUUCGGUCCCUAUCCGUCGCGGGCGCAGGAAAUUUGAGAGGAGCUGUCCUUAGUACGAGAGGACCGGGAUGGACGCACCGCUGGUGUACCAGUUGUCCCGCCAGGGGCACCGCUGGGUAGCUAUGUGCGGACGGGAUAAGCGCUGAAAGCAUCUAAGCGUGAAGCCCCCCUCAAGAUGAGAUUUCCCACCGCGUCAGGCGGGUAAGAUUCCUCGAAGAUGACGAGGUCGAUAGGUCCGAGGUGGAAGCGUGGCGACACGUGGAGCUGACGGAUACUAAUCGAUCGAGGGCUUAACCUAA
rnacentral:rRNA from 1 species